GAUCGGAGUGCUUGCACUCUGUGAAAAAGAUACAGGCUAGCGGCGGACGGGUGAGUAACACGUGGGUAACCUGCCCAAGAGAUCGGGAUAACACCUGGAAACAGAUGCUAAUACCGGAUAACAACAGAUGAUGCCUAUCAACUGUUUAAAAGAUGGUUCUGCUAUCACUCUUGGAUGGACCUGCGGUGCAUUAGCUAGUUGGUAGGGUAACGGCCUACCAAGGCGAUGAUGCAUAGCCGAGUUGAGAGACUGAUCGGCCACAUUGGGACUGAGACACGGCCCAAACUCCUACGGGAGGCAGCAGUAGGGAAUCUUCCACAAUGGACGCAAGUCUGAUGGAGCAACGCCGCGUGAGUGAAGAAGGGUUUCGGCUCGUAAAGCUCUGUUGUUGGUGAAGAAGGACAGGGGUAGUAACUGACCUUUGUUUGACGGUAAUCAAUUAGAAAGUCACGGCUAACUACGUGCCAGCAGCCGCGGUAAUACGUAGGUGGCAAGCGUUGUCCGGAUUUAUUGGGCGUAAAGCGAGUGCAGGCGGCUCGAUAAGUCUGAUGUGAAAGCCUUCGGCUCAACCGGAGAAUUGCAUCAGAAACUGUCGAGCUUGAGUACAGAAGAGGAGAGUGGAACUCCAUGUGUAGCGGUGAAAUGCGUAGAUAUAUGGAAGAACACCGGUGGCGAAGGCGGCUCUCUGGUCUGUUACUGACGCUGAGGCUCGAAAGCAU
rnacentral:rRNA from 1 species